UCGAGGGGGCGGUGGUCAGCGCCACCCCGCUUGGUGGUCAAACCACCCCACAAGCUUUGGCGAGAUUCGGAACACGGUGGAGGAGUUCGCCGUCCCCGAGAUGCCGCCGCCGCCGCCGCCGUCGGUGCGCACGAGGAGCGUCACCUCCGUCGCGCUCCCGACGCAAGGAGAUGGCGGCGGCUGCCGCCGCGUGCCGCUCUCCCCGUUCGACGCGUACUGGGUCGCGCUGCCGCCCGUCCGCCGCGUCUUCCUCUUCCCGUCCCCGCCGCCGUUCGGAGACGUCGUACGCGCGCUCAGGGACUCCCUCGAGGCGGUGCUCCCGGCGUUCUACCCCUUCGCCGGCGCGCUGGUCUACUCGCCGGAGGAGGAAUCGCUGUCCAUUGUCGUGGAGGCCGGUGGCGGCGUGGCGUUCGUGGAGGCCGAGACGGACCUCGACCUCGGGAGGCUCGUCGACGAAGGGGAGGAGCACGACGAGGACGCGCUGCGGCAGCUCGUCCCGGACAUCCGCCGCGACGAGCUCCCCGCGCCCGUCAUGGCGGCGCAGGUGACGGAGUUCGUCGGCGGUGGCGGGGGCGUGGCGGUCGGGGUGGCCAUGCACCACGCGGCGGCGGACGGCCGCGGCCUCUGGCGAUUCUUGGAGAUGUGGUCCGCCGCCGCCGCAGCGGCCGUGGCCACCAGUGUCAGGGAGGCCCUCCCACCGCCGCUCCACGACCGGACGCUGGUGCGGUUCGACGGCGACGGCGAGCUGGCCCGGCUGUUCUUGCGGCAGAUCGCGCCGGACUUGCCCAAGCUCCUGAAGCAGCGCGCCACCGCCGGCGGCGGCAAGGCGCCGUCCACGUUCGCGGCCAUGGCGGCGCACGGGUGGGUCUCCAUCGCGCGCGCCAGCGGCCUCGCCGACGACGGCGGCGGCCCCGUGUUCGCCGUCUUCCUCGCGGACGCCCGCGCGCUCAUGUCGCCGCCGGCGCCCGGCGCCUACGCCGGCAACUGCGUCGCGGUGUGCGCGGCGUCGCUGGAAGGGGCGGAGCUCGCCGCCGGGGCGGACGCGCACGCGCACGCGCGGGCGGCCGCGGCCGUCGGGGGCGCCGUCGACGCCGCGAGGCGCGACCCGCUCGGCGACCGCGCGCGGUGGCACGACAAGUUCGCGCGCAUCCCGCCCGGGCGCGCGAUGAUCAUGGCCGGGUCGCCGUGGUUCCCGGCGUACGCGGUGGAGUUCGGCUUGGGCAGGCCGGCGGCGAGGGCGGAGCUGGCGUCCAUGAACCACGACGGGGAGGUGGUGCUCGUCGCCGGGAGGGAGGCCGGGUCGGUCCAGGCGUCGGUGGCGAUCGCCGCCGACAAGAUGCCGGCGUUCCGUGAGAUGUUUGUGCUGGUGCUCACCGGCGGCGGUCGCGAGCAGGGGAGCGCGGUUGCGGGCUGCGAGCACGCGGGGAGGGCGGCUAGCGGCGACGGGGAAGGAGGACGGUGGCGCUACGCUGGGAGGAAGAUGGGCGACGAGGUAGAUGGAGGUAUUACCUACUCUGUCCUCCUCCCCCGUCGUCAUCGGAGGCAGCGAGUGCGCACACGCGCGGCGAGCUGCAAGCGCCGCCGUCCUCUUCCCACCGUCGACGCCGCCCUAGUGCCCUACACAUCGUCGCCUCCUCUCCCUCUGAUGUGUCGUCUCCGCCGCCACCCGCCUCCACCUUAUCGCCCUAUUGUCCUCCUCCUCAGCGCCGCCCAUUGCAGUCCACCCCUGCGCGCUCGCCGCCCGCCGCGGGCGAGCACCAGCUCGGCCUUCUCCCCGGUGCUUCCCUCUCCCUUCCUCUCUAUCCAUAGCAAGGGUAUUGCAGUCUUAAAACUCCUCAAAGUGGCAAAAUAACCUAAAGAUA
rnacentral:lncRNA from 1 species